CCCCUCUCAGGGUCGCACCUGGAGAGUUUCCAGUCCUCUACCAGUCUCGACUACGGGAGGGAGAGUCCAGCAGAGGCCAACCCAUUCCAUUCCUAGCUUGCCCAGUGGUUAGCGAGUGGAAGGCAAUCGGCGACAAGU